rnacentral:ncRNA from 18 species
CAUAUUCUUAAGGGGUGCCUUGCUUUGGUUACAAACAAACUGCAGAUUGUUUACCAAACUGAAAGACAGGCUGAGAUCAUACCCAUGGAGAGAAGUUUUGAGUAAUGAGUUUUGAGUUUCGAGUCGGUUUCCGGCUAUGAACUAUAAAGCAUCAACUGUAAACUCCGCUCCUGAACCUGAUCCGGAUAAUGCCGGCGUAGGGAUGGUAAAAAGUUAAGUG